rnacentral:rRNA from 1 species
GACGAACGCUGGCGGCGUGCUUAACACAUGCAAGUCGAACGGAAAGACGAUGCUCUUGUGGGGCGCUCGAUUGGCGAACGCGGGAGUAUCACGUGAGUAUCCUGCCCUUGUCUUUGGGAUAACUUCAGGAAACUGGGGCGCAUACCGGAUAGGAGCUCCUGCAGCAUGGUGGGGGUUGGAAAGUUUCGGCGGUUGGGGAUGGACUGGCAGCUUAUCAGCUUGUUUGUGGGGUAGUGGCUUACCAAGGCUUUGACGGGUAGCCGGCCUGAGAGGGUGACCGGCCACAUUGGGACUGAGGUACGGCCCAGGCUCCUACGGGAGGCAGCAGUGGGGAAUAUUGCAGAAUGGGCGGAAGCCUGAUGCAGCAGCGCCGCGUGCGGGAUGACGGCCUUCGGGUUGUAAACCGCUUUCGCCUGUGACGAAGCGUGAGUGACGGUAAUGGGUAAAGAGGCACCGGCUAACUACGUG